GUCAUGUGGCCUAGCGGACCAAUAUCGUCUGUGACGUCAAUAUAUCGUCUGCAUUGGCGUUCAGAGAUUUCAGAAGAAAAGGCAGACAUUUUUCGUCAGAGUAAAUUCUGGGUUUUGUAUUAAUAUAUUUCUAUGUAAUGUAAGAAAAACCCACCCUCCCACCUCUUGAUUUCAAAACGUGUAUUUUGGCGAUAUACUGCUGCUGUUUUGGUUUAUUUUUCAGGUUUUAUGGACAUAUUUUAUUUCCUUGCACCCGAUGUUGUAUGAUGAUUCGUCAUGGCUCACCAAGUGUAGAAAUUCCAAGAUGACUCAAGAUGAGAUUUUAUUCGCUAUAUUCCGUUCAACUUUUGAUCGUGAUUCUAUAAUUGAACUUUGUACACCUUAACUAAUGGACAACUGUUGAAAUAUUUUGACACAGAAGCGUUGGAUUAACGAACUUUUCAUUCUAUUAAUUUUCAACUAAUUUCUUGAAGGACUAUCUGAAGAAAUUUGGCGGGAAAGCGACACAACGCCAAACAUCUUGCUUCAUGUUCACAUAAUGGACUCUAAUAUCCGUUACUGAGCUUCUGUUCCCAGGGCCAGUAUUUUUAAAGUCAAUGUCAGUAUUGGACAGUAAUGAUAAAGUGCUCUUUUUGUACAGAUGGUUCUAAUUGAUCAUUCUUGAUCCAUGCUAAUGUUAUAAUUGAUCAAUCGUGAUCCAUGCUAAAGUUUUUAAUUGAUCAAUCGUGAUCCAUUCUUAUAUUAUAACUGAUCAACAGUGAUCCACGCUAAUGUGUUAAUUUUGAUCAUUUGUGACUCAUGAUCAUGCUAAUGUUUCAUCUUUAUUGAUGAUAAAUUAAUGUUUGAUUAAUUUGUGAGCCGUGGC
rnacentral:lncRNA from 1 species